AGGAAAUAGGAAGUGACAUCACUGGCCUUCAGAGGAGCCAUUUCGAAAAGCUGGAAAAACUGUCCUCAACAACAUAUCCCAAAAAUACACCCCAGAUGAAGCCAGCAGAGCUGACACAAGAAUCAAAGAUGGAGGAAGCCGUGGUGAAAACUACGCUCGGGCACAGACAUAGUCAAGGGACGAUGGAAGGAUUUGUUC